rnacentral:rRNA from 1 species
UACGUAGGUGGCAAGCGUUUGUCCGGAAUUAUUGGGCGUAAAGAGCUCGUAGGCGGUCUGUCACGUCGGCUGUGAAAACCCGGGGCUCAACCCCGGGCCUGCAGUCGAUACGGGCAGACUAGAGUGCGGUAGGGGAGACUGGAAUUCCUGGUGUAGCGGUGAAAUGCGCAGAUAUCAGGAGGAACACCGGUGGCGAAGGCGGGUCUCUGGGCAAUAACUGACGCUGAGGAGCGAAAGCGUGGGGAGCGAACAGG